AUGACACACAGAACACGCUGCCAGGACAUGGGACAGGAGACACCAGCAUCAACUGUGCACACACCUUACCUAUCCUGGGGUCCCCAGGUGACAUCUGGGAGAAUACCACUGCCAGGAUUGUUUCAACUCUACAGCCUUCAGAGUAAGCUUGAAAAAUGCACAGUGCUUAGGGACAUCACUCGAGCUCUUUGUGCUCUCCUCCAGCUGUACAGUGCCAAGGUAUCUAAAUGUAUUUCAAAGAUGAGUUCAGCCUAAACGCCUUCAGAAAUGCCAUCUACAAAUACAGAGAUACUCAGCAGAUCGGUUACAACAAGUGCUCAGAUACAGUGAGUGAUGUCUGUGGCUCUGUUCAGUGCAGAACUCCAGCAAGAUUGUCUAAUUUCACUUUAAUGACAGGUUCCAAUUGAAAGGAAAGUAUCAAACUUGGAAGAAUUUAAAACAAAGGUGCUGGAUGUUUAACGUCUCCGCAUGUUCCAACCCCAGAGAGAAGCCAUCCUUUCCUGUUAUUCAUAUCACAUAAAGAUUUCAUUUCAAAGUAAUUAUUACUUGUUUGGGAGAGAGGCAGUGCCCUGCAUACUGAACAGCAAGUUACCAAUACCUUGCUUGGCAGGGACUUUUUUCUGUGUGAUCCCAUGUUUGCAUUCAUAAUCUUUUUUUAUCUUCUGUCUCCAGGGUGGUUCCCACCUUUCCCUUUGUGAACCAAGUCCUGCCCUCUGAAAAAGGUAUACCUUGUGCAACUGACUUCCACAUUAACUCAGACCAGGGAGGGCAAAGGGGAAGCUCACUGUUUCAAAAAAAGCCUCAGAAUUUAUAAAGCAGCUGCCAAUUAGUCAGACCUUAAUUUUGCAAAUUUAUUUAGGAAAAAAAAAAUUAACAUGAGCAAAUGAGAAUACUUCAGUGUUACAACAGAGUAUAUAAAUGUCUAGCAAUAGUCAAAUAAUUUGAUCUUUAAAUACAAAAUAACCACAUGAACACCUAAUAUACAGGUUUCAUCUGAAUACAUAUUUAUUAGAUAAAUAUUAGGUUGUCACAUCAUCUAACUACAUACAGUUUUGCAAGACUAAAAAUCACAAUUAUUUUUUCUGACCAGUUUAAAGUAUGAAAUGAUUGCAUUGUACUGUACAUACAAUGUACAAACAAAGACAAUGGCCAUUUUUGCAUGUUACCUCAGAUUGUACUUUUUUUUUUUUUUUUAAUUCUCCUCUGAUCGUGAUAUCAAAAAUUGUACAAAGUAUGAAUUUGGUUACAAUUUUCUUUUUUUUUUAAUCCCCGUAUUUUUCUUCAUUAUUUCUGUAGCACCCUAAAAAUACACAGGUGAUAGACUAGUACACGUAAGCUAAAUAUUACAUGUAGAUAAAACAAAACAAAACAAAGGGUCAGAGUAUAUUACAGAAGUGAAAGUGGAACAAAUGCUGAGACUCCACAAACGCUAACAAACAGGAUUCAUUUUCCACAUAAGAUGGAGCUUCAAGCUUUUUUUUAUUUUUUUUCCUGCGAAAUAAAAACAAUGCACAUUCCA
rnacentral:lncRNA from 1 species